GCAGAGACCAUCCCUCGUACCUUUUGCAUCAUGAUUCAGCAAGUUUACUCAAGCAAAGAGCACUCUAGUUUGCACCCCCGAAACUUGACGAGCUACUCCGAGACAGCCAUCUAUGGGCCAACCCGUCUCUGUGGCAAAAGAGUGGGAAGAUCUCCGAGUAGGGGCAAAAAACCUACCGAGCCAAGUUAUAGCUGGUUGCCCAAUAAAUGAAUACAAGUUCAGCCCUGCCUAGCCCAACUCACAACAGUUUUACAAAAAAAGACAAAGAGCUUACUCGCAGGAGUUAAUCAGAGGAGGUACAGCUCCCCUGAUCUAGGAUACAACCUUUUUAGGAGACAAAAGAGUAUUGCCAAACAAGGCUUUAGGUCUCAGUGGGCCUGAAAGCAGCCAUCUGAUCUGAAAGCGUUAAAGCUCCGGCCAAAAGAUAGCCUCUUAUUUAAUCUUUAUCUCUGCCCCCCUAAACCCCCAUUGGGCCUCUCCAUGCAUCCAUGGAAGAGACUAUGCUGGAACGAGUAACAAGAAGAACGAACUUCUCCACGCACAAGUGUAUGUCAAAUUGGACCAACCAUCGACAAUCAACGAACCCAACAAGAGAGGGCCCUACACACCCGCCACCUCCGACCAAGAAAACCAUGUUCCCCAAAAUCGUUGCCCCAACACAGGAGUGCCAGAACAAGGAAAGACUUAAAGAAAAAAAAGGAACUCGGCAAACCCAGACCUCGCCUGUUUACCAAAAACAUCGCCUCUUGCAUUCCGAAGUAUAAGAGGUCCCACCU
rnacentral:rRNA from 1 species